rnacentral:other from 2 species
GUUCUACUGCGACGUUGGUGACUGCCAAUAAUGUUUUGUGAUCUAUGCUUUCUGAAUAUGGGAACCACAAUCGACCAGUGGCAGUAUACCGAGCUUGUACUCGGAAACUUUAAGCUGGCACAGCGGUACCCCCCUGGAUUCGUCCAGGUCAGAAACUGAGGCAAGACGGCGUUGCGGGGAACUC